AUUUGCUGAUCCAAGCAAUGGUGCUUCAACUCCUGAUCAGCAACAAUAUGACGAGAAAAAUAUCCGUCGGAGGGUUUAUGGUGCUUUGAAUGUUCUAAUGGCAAUGGAUAUUAUUUCUAAGGAUAAAAAGGAAAUACAAUGGAAGGGUCUUGCUCGCACAAGUGUAAGCAAUAUUUAAGAUUUAAAGACAGAACGUCUUGGGCUAAGGAAUAAAAUUGAAAAGAAAGCAUCCUAUUUGCAAGAGCUGGAGGAUCAAGUAAGGGCCGCUAUCAAUAGUGGAUUUAGUCUGGGUUUGAACUCCUGUGCCU